rnacentral:misc_RNA from 1 species
CCCUUUCUUGCACGUUCAGCUCGGGUUUUUAGCCACUCCAUCAUCUCACCAUGCACCAAAUUCACGCUCUCCUCCGGCUCACCAACAAGCUGGUGCCACAUUCCUGGGUAAAUUUUCAAAGUUUUGUCCUUACUCGAGGCGCGUCGAUGUAGCUCCUCCACGCAUGCAGGGGCGCACACCACAUCAUCACCGCCGUGUACA